CAAAUUGCCACAGAAGGACAUGCUUGACAAUUACUGUGCACCCCUGACAACAACACUAAUGUAUUUCCGGUGUUGCUUGCAUGCUCUUUCCAAACAGGUUAUAUCAACAUUUAUCGGAGACACAUUCCAAACCUAAGCGGACACCUGAAAAUAAGUUUAUUUACUGAAGAGCUGAACCUCAUUGGACAAGACCCAGCCCUCACAGGAGGGAAUGGAAAACAACAGGACAGCCAGCUGGAGCGCUUAUCCCAAACCAGGCAAGAUUCAACAGCAGGAUUCCCUGCAGCCGGAGAUCUGCAAGACACACAGUGCUCUUUGUAGAAUAUAACCAGAAAAGGCUGUAUUGAGUUGAAGUUCCUGAAAGUCAGUGAUGAUCUCUGGAUCUUUCUCAGUUUUCUUUGGAUCUCAGUAGCAUGUAUUUUACCUCUGAAGAUGAAAUGAGUUCAGAUUUUGCUUUCUAUGAUGGUAAAGUUAUGCAAAGAUUUAUAUAUUCCUAGUAUUCUUAAUACACACUUUUUCUCUUGACUGUCAGAAGUCAAGGAAGUUAAACAUUUUAG
ensembl:lncRNA